CCCCAGCGAACGGAAAGCGGGACCGACACGUGAUUGAUACUGUAUUGUGUAAUAAUCCAGCACAUAACAAAUAUUUGAAACACGCAUUAUGCCGCCAUUCCUAACCUCUUCGCUCUCAUUUUCCAUCUCGCCCACUCCUAUCGGGUGUCUCCACCACAUCACACCAAAGAGUCUCCAAGACAGAGCUGGCCUUGAUGCUGGUGGUAGCUGGUUCACUGUAAACAUUCAUCGAAUGUGGAAUGCUCUGCCAGCAAGACAAUGGUUUACUGGCACAUGCGAAGGUAUACAUUUGCUGCUCAAGACUGGAAAAAUCUACAACAUCAUAAAUCGCCUGUUUGACUACAUCUUGAAGCUGCUUUAAAUUGCUGCAUUAUCUCUACAGUGUCAAACUACACGGAUAGCGAAUACGAUUACGAAGAUUCGUGCGCGUACCAUAUACUGUUAACAUCAGCGCAUCCGCUCGUAGUAAAUUGCACUCUGGACUGCAAACCUCCGGUACCGAUGAACGACUCCACACCUUGUGUGUUCAACACAUCCAUACCUUUCGGGAAUAUGGAACAAGGAUGCAAUUAUACCUGCAUGGAAGGUGUCUGUAAAAAUGGUACCUGUGUCUCAAAUCAUCAGAAGGAAUCAACAUGCUGGCAGCCAAAGAUUGUAAUGCUUCCUCUGAGGGAAACCAAUAGCAGCAAUGCAACUGCUACUUCUUCUGGUGAAGAAUAGGUGUACUUUUAUUUUUCAUUUAGUCACUAUUUUAAUGUGGACAAUAAACUGAUUCUUGAUAAGCAUCAUGUGUGCAA
rnacentral:misc_RNA from 1 species